CCGCACCUGUCACCAGCCGGCGACACCAGCCCACCGCUCCCGCCCAGCUCUCCGCCAGCCUCGGGCCCCCGCGGGCCCCGCGACCCCGUUCCCUACCAGGUGUCCCCUUUCCGGAGCGAGGUUUUGAGCAGCGUCGCGAUGUCAGAACGCUGGGUGUCCAGGUCCGCCGCUCCGCCUUCCGCCAUCUUCUUCCACUAGCCGUAGCGGAGGCGGCGGCGACGGCGGCGGCACGCCCCGGAGCAUUGUGGGAAUGGCGUCCCCGGCCCCGCCCCGCCGGCAGGUCUGCUCUGGGUUCCUGUUGAGCUCUGGCUGUGACCUUCCCCUAGCGACGGCUAUUUCUUAUGUUAUUUGACCACUCCUGAUUAUAAAACCGAGUUUUCCUAACUAUGGACAUUCUCAGUUGUUAUAUAUCCACACCCCCCAUCCCCAUCUUCUACCACUCUGUGAAGGAAAGCAAAGUGAGUUGAGUGUGUGCCUGUGACAGCCUACUGUGGAGAUCACAAGUCAACGUUGCAGGCGUCAGCUCUCUCUACUAUGAGGGUCUCAGGGGAUCAGACUUGGGAAGGAUCCCAUGCGUCCCAGGUUGUCAGUGCAACAGAAGAUGACUUUGAACUUAUCUGAUCUGUCUGCUUCCGCCUCCCCAGUUCUGGGAUGUUUCUGCAGCACUGGGCAUCAAGCCCAGGGUUUCGUGCUUGCUAUGUAAGCACUCUUCUGCCUGAGUCCUAUCUCUAGACCCCAUUAAGGAUUUUUUUUUCUAAAAAAAAAAAAAUGAAGAUUAAAUGAAACAAUAUGAGUUUGUUGCCUGGAACUUAAUAGCCAAUCAACAAAUGUUAGUAGGAAGAAUUGGACUGAUAUCAGGAUAAAUUGUAUAGUAUGUGUGUUAUAUCUCAAUAAAGCUAUUCUUAACAAAGCAUUCAGGA
rnacentral:lncRNA from 1 species